rnacentral:rRNA from 1 species
UACUUAGGUGGCGAGCGUUGUCCGGAUUUACUGGGCGUAAAGGGAGCGUAGGCGGAUUUUUAAGUGAGAUGUGAAAUACUCGGGCUCAACUUGAGUGCUGCAUUUCAAACUGGAAGUCUAGAGUGCAGGAGAGGAGAAUGGAAUUCCUAGUGUAGCGGUGAAAUGCGUAGAGAUUAGGAAGAACACCAGUGGCGAAGGCGAUUCUCUGGACUGUAACUGACGCUGAGGCUCGAAAGCGUGGGGAGCAAACAGG